rnacentral:rRNA from 1 species
GACGAACGCUGGCGGCGUGCCUAAUACAUGCAAGUCGAGCGCAGGAAAUCGACGGAACCCUUCGGGGGGAAGUCGACGGAAUGAGCGGCGGACGGGUGAGUAACACGUAAAGAACCUGCCCUCAGGGCUGGGAUAACCACGAGAAAUCGGGGCUAAUACCGGAUGGGUCAUCGGACCGCAUGGCCCGAGGAUGAAAGGCGCUUCGGCGUCGCCGGGGGAUGCCUUUGAGGUGCAUUAGCUGGUUGGUGGGGUAAUGGCCCAACAAGGCGACGAUGCAUAGCCGACCUGAGAGGGUGAUCGGCCACACUGGGACUGAGACACGGCCCAGACUCCUACGGGAGGCAGCAGUAGGGAAUCUUCCACAAUGGACGAAGGUCUGAUGGAGCAACGCCGCGUGAACGAUGAAGGCCUUCGGGUCGUAAAGUUCUGUUGUAAGGGAAGAACAAGUGCCGCAGGCAAUGGCGGCACCUUGACGGUACCUUGCGAGAAAGCCACGGCUAACUACGUGCCAGCCGCCGCCGUAA